AUUGAACGCUGGCGGCCGUCCUAACACAUGCAAGUCGAACGAGUGGCGGACGGGUUAGUAAUGUCUGGGAAACUGCCCGAUGGAGGGGGAUAACUACUGGAAACGGUAUCUAAUACCGCAUACCAUCGGAUGUUCCCCGAUGGGAUUCGCUUGUAGGUGUGGUAACGGGUCACCUAGGCGACGAUCCCUAGCUGUUCUCUGAGGUUGACCAGACACACUGGAACUGGGACACGGUCCAGACUCCGACGGGAGGCAGAAGUGGGGAAUAUUGCACAAUGGGCGCAAGCCUGAUGCAGCCAUGCAGCGUGUAUGAAGAAGGCCUUCGGGGUGUAAAGUACAUAAAGAGGGGAGGCGUAACCCGCAGAAGAAGCACCGGCUAACUCCGUGCCAGCAGCCGCGGUAAUUC
rnacentral:rRNA from 1 species